CAGUAGCCGCGGGAAUACAGAGGGUGCAAGCGUUAAUCGGAAUUACUGGGCGUAAAGCGCGCGUAGGUGGUUCGCCAAGUUGGAUGUAAAAUCCCCGGGCUCAACCUGGGAACUGCAUCCAAAACUGGCGAGCUAGAGUAUGGUAGAGGGUGGUGGAAUUUCCUGUGUAGCGGUGAAAUGCGUAGAUAUAGGAAGGAACAUCAGUGGCGAAGGCGACCACCUGGACUGAUACUGACACUGAGGUGCGAAAGCGUGGGGAGCAAACAGGAUUAGAGACCCGAGUAGUCCCUGUCUCUUAUAC
rnacentral:rRNA from 1 species